UACGGAGGAUCCAAGCGUUAUCCGGAAUCAUUGGGUUUAAAGGGUCCGUAGGCGGACAAUUAAGUCAGCGGUGAAAGUCUGCAGCUCAACUGUAGAAUUGCCGUUGAUACUGGUUGUCUUGAAUCGUUGUGAAGUGGCUAGAAUAUGUGGUGUAGCGGUGAAAUGCUUAGAUAUCACAUAGAAUACCGAUUGCGAAGGCAGGUCACUAACAACGUAUUGACGCUGAUGGACGAAAGCGUGGGGAGCGAACAGG
rnacentral:rRNA from 1 species